rnacentral:rRNA from 1 species
UNUGACUUGAGUGCAGUAGGGGAGAGUGGAAUUCCAUGUGUAGCGGUGAAAUGCGUAGAUAUAUGGAGGAACACCAGUGGCGAAAGCGGCUCUCUGGUCUGUCACUGACGCUGAGGCUCGAAAGCGUGGGUAGCGAACAGGAUUAGAUACCCUGGUAGUCCACGCCGUAAACGAUGAGUGCUAGGUGUUAGGCCCUUUUCGGGGCUUAGUGCCGGAGCUAACGCAAUAAGCACUCCGCCUGGGGAGUACGACCGCAAGGUUGAAACUCAAAGGAAUUGACGGGGGCCCGCACAAGCGGUGGAGCAUGUGGUUUAAUUCGAAGCAACGCGAAGAACCUUACCAGGUCUUGACAUCCCGAUGCUAUUCUUAGAGAUAGGAAGUUACUUCGGUACAUCGGAGACAGGUGGUGCAUGGUUGUCGUCAGCUCGUGUCGUGAGAUGCUGGGUUAAGUCCCGCAACGAGCGCAACCCUUAUUGUUAGUUGCCAUCAUUAAGUUGGGCACUCUAGCGAGACUGCCGGUAAUAAACCGGAGGAAGGUGGGGAUGACGUCAAAUCAUCAUGCCCCUUAUGACCUGGGCUACACACGUGCUACAAUGGUCGGUACAACGAGUUGCGAGCCGGUGACGGCAAGCUAAUCUCUGAAAGCCGAUCUCAGUUCGGAUUGGAGGCUGCAACUCGCCUCCAUGAAGUCGGAAUCGCUAGUAAUCGCGGAUCAGCACGCCGCGGUGAAUACGUUCCCGGGCCUUGUACACACCGCCCGUCACACCACGAGAGUUUGUAACACCCGAAG